CCUGAAUGGGCCCUCAACUAUUUCCUGAAAUUUCCCUGUGCAGAUUCUACAGAGUUUCCAACUUGCUGAAUCAAAUUAAAGGUUUAACUCACUGUGAUGAAUCCUCACAUCACAAAGCCUUUUCACAGAUAGCUUCUUUCUAGUUUUUAUCGCAGGAUAUCAGUUUUCCAAUAUAGGCCUCAAUGGGCUCCCAAUUGUCCCUGUGGAGAAUCUAUAGAAAAAGUUUCCAAACUGCUGAAUCAAAGAAAAGUUUUAACUCUGUCAGAUGAAUCCACACAUCACAAAGCAUUUGCACAGAUAGCUUCUUUCUCGUUUUUAUCACGGGAUAUCAAUUUUUCACUAUAGUCCUCAAGUGGGCUCACAAAUAUCCCCUUGUAAAUUAUACAAAAAGAGUGUUUUGAACCCCCUGAAUCAAAAGAAAUGAUUAAUUCUAUGACAUGAAUCCACAUAUUGCAAAGAAUUUUCACAGAUAGCUUCUUUCUACUUUUUAAUCAUGGGAUAUCUGUGUUUCAGUAUAGGCCUCAAUGGGCUCUAAAAUGUUUCUACACAGAUUCUACAGAAAGAUUGUUACCAAAAUGAGGAAUCAAAAGAAAGGUUUAAGUUUGUGAAGUGAAUCCACAUAUUGCAAAGCAUUGUCACAGAUAACUUCUUUCUCAUUUUUAUCAUGGGAUAUUGGUUUUUCACUAUAGGCCUCAAUAGGCUCCCAAAUAUUUGUGUGCAGAUUCUACAGAAAGAGUCUUUGCAACCUGCUGAAUCAAAAGAAAGGUUCAACUCUGUGAGAUGAAUCCACACAUCACAAAGUGAUUUCACAGAUAGCUUCUUUCUUGUUUUUAUCAUGGAAUAUCUGUUUUCACUAUAGGAUUCAAUGGGCUCCAAAAUAUUUUGCACAGAUUCUACAGAAAGAGUGUUUUAAACCUGCUGAAUCAAAAGAAAAAUUUGAAUUUCUGAGAUGAAUCCAGACAUCGCAAAACAUUUUCUCAGGUCUCAAUGGGCUCCCAAGUGUCCCUGUGCAGAUUCUACAGAGUGUUUCUAAUCUGCUGAACCAAAAGAAAGAGUUAACUCUGUGAGAUGAAUCAACUUGUCACAAAGCAUUUUCACAGAUAGCUUCUUUCUAGUUUUUAUCAUGGGCUAUCUAUUUUCACAAUAGGACUCAAUGCAUUCCCAAAUGUACUUGUGCAGAACCUACAGAAAGAGUGUUUCCAACCUGCUGAAUCAGACAAAGGUUUAACUCUGUGAGAUGAAUCCACCCUUCCCAAAGCGUUUUCACAGAGAGAUUAUUUCUCGUUUUUAUUGUGGGAUAUCAGAUUUUCAUUAUAGGCCUCAAUGGGCUCUAAAAUGUCCUGGUGCAGAUUCUACAGAAAGAGUGUUUCCACCUUGCUGAAUCAAAAGAAAGUUUUAACUCUGUGAGAUGAAUCUAGAGAUCAAAAAGCAUUCUUGCAGAUAGCUUCCUUCUAGUUUUUAUAGUGAGAUAUCUAUUUUCACCAUAUGACACAAUGGGCUCCCAAAUGUCCUUGCACAGAUUCUACAGAAAGAAUGUUUCCAAUCUGCUGAAUUGAAUGAAAGGUUUUAACUCUGUGAGAUGAAUCCAAACGUCCCAAACCCUUUUGGCAAAUAGCUUCUUUUUAGUUUUUAUCUCAGGAUAUUGGUUUUCCACUAUAGGCCUCAAUGGGCUUCCAAAUGUCCCUGCAAAGAUUCUACAGAAUAAACGUUACCAAUCUGCUGGAUCAAAAGAAAGGUUUAACCCUGUGAGAUGAAUCCACACAUCACAAAGCAUUUUCACAGAUAGAUUCUUUCUCAUUUUUAUCACGGGAUAUUGGUUUUUCACUAUAGUCCUCUGUUGCGGGAAGUCGGGGACCUCAAACGGAGGAACCGGCUGAAGCCAUGGCAGAAGAAUGUGGAUUGUGAAGAUUUCACGGACAUUUAUUAGUUUCCCAAAUUAAUACUUUUAUAAUUUCUUAUGCCUGUCUUUACUGUAAUCUCUAAACAUAAACUGUGAAGAUUUCAUGGACACUUAUCACUUCGCCAAUAAAUAACCUUGUGAUUUCCUAUGCCUGUCUUUACUUUAAUCUCUUAAUCCUGUCAUCUCAUAAGCUGAGGAGAAUGUAUGUCACCUCAGGGCCCUGUGAUGAUUGCGUUAACUGCAUAAAUUGAAGAGCAUGUGUGUUUGAACAAUAUGAAAUCUGGGCACCUUGAAAAAAGAACAGGAUAACAGCAAUGUUCGGGGAACAAGAGAGAUAACCUUAAACUCUGACUGCCUGUGAGCCAGGUGGAACAAAGCCAUAUUUCUCUUCUUUCAAAAGCAAAUGGGAGAAAUAUCACUGAAUUCUUUUUCUCAGCAAGGAACAUCCCUGAGAAAGAGAAUGCACCCCUGAGGGUGGGCCUCUAAAAUGGCCCCCUUGGGUGUGGCCAUCUUCUAUGGUCAAGCUGUAGGGAUGAAAUAAGCCCCAGUCUCCCACAGCACUCCCAGGCUUAUUAGGAUGAGGAAAUUCCCACCUAAUAAAUUUUGGUCAGACUGGUUGCUCUCAAACCCUGUCUCCUGAUAAGAUGUUAUCGAUGACAAUGGUGCCGAAAACUUCAUUAGCAAUUUUAAUUUCACCCCGGUACUGUGGUCCUGUGAUCUCACCCUGCCUCCAUUUACCUUGUGAUAUUCUAUUACCUUGUGAAGUACAUGAUCUCUGUGACCCACACCCUAUUUGUACACUCCCUCCCCUUUUGAAAAUCCCUAAUAAAAACUUGCUGGUUUUGCAGCUUGUGGGGCAUCAUGGAACCUACCAACAUGUGAUGUCUCCCCCAGAUGCCCAGCUCUAAAAUUUCUCUCUUUUGUACUCUGUC
rnacentral:lncRNA from 10 species